rnacentral:rRNA from 1 species
GACGAACGCUGGCGGCGUGCCUAAUACAUGCAAGUCGAACGCACAGUUUAUACCGUAGCUUGCUACACCAUAAACUGUGAGUUGCGAACGGGUGAGUAACGCGUAGGUAACCUGCCUGGUAGCGGGGGAUAACUAUUGGAAACGAUAGCUAAUACCGCAUAAUAUUGAUUAUUGCAUGAUAAUUGAUUGAAAGAUGCUAUUGCAUCACUACCAGAUGGACCUGCGUUGUAUUAGCUAGUAGGUGAGGUAACGGCUCACCUAGGCGACGAUACAUAGCCGACCUGAGAGGGUGAGCGGCCCCACUGGGACUGAGACACGGCCCAGCCUCCUACGGGAGGCAGCCGUAGGGAAUCUUCAGCAAUGGACGCAAGUCUGACCGAGCAACGCCGCGUGAGUGAAGAAGGUUUUCGGAUCGUAAAGCUCUGUUGUAAGAGAAGAACGGGUGUGAGAGUGGAAAGUUCACACUGUGACGGUAUCUUACCAGAAAGGGACGGCUAACUACGUG